rnacentral:rRNA from 1 species
GACGAACGCUGGCGGCGUGCUUAAUACAUGCAAGUCGAACGGAAAGGCCCUGCGCUUGUGGGGUGCUCGAUUGGCGAACGGGUGAGUAACACGCGUGUAACCUGCCCUUGAAUGAGGGAGAACAUCACGAAACACGGGCUAAUAUCGGAUAGGAGAUCCUGCAGCACGGUGGGGGUUGGAAAGUUUCGGCGGUUGGGGAUGGACUGGCGGCUUAUCAGCUUGUUGGUCGAGUAGGUGCGUACCAAGGCUACGACGGAUAGCCGGCCUGAGAGGUCAGACAGGCACAUGGCGCCUGAGGUACGCAGCAGAAGCCAAUCGGCGGCAGUAGGCGGGAACCUUACGGAGUGGGCGGGAGUGUGAGACGAAGGCCCCCCGUGCGUAAUGCCCGCCUACGGGUUAUAAACAGCUUUGGAAUGUAACGAAGAGGGAGUGACGGUAACGAGUAAAGAAGCACCGGCUAACUACGUG